ACUCCUACGGGAGGCAGCAGUGGGGAAUAUUGCACAAUGGGGGAAACCCUGAUGCAGCCAUGCCGCGUGUGUGAAGAAGGCCUUCGGGUUGUAAAGCACUUUCAGUAGGGAGGAAGGUAGUGUAGUUAACACCUGCAUUAUUUGUACGUUACCUACAGAAGAAGCACCGGCUAACUCCGCGCCAGCAGCCGCGGUAAGUACGGAGGGUGCGAGCGUUAAUCGGAAUUACUGGGCGUAAAGCGCAUGCAGGCGGCCUGUUAAGUCAGAUGUGAAAGCCCGGGGUCUUAACCUCGGAAUUGCAUUUGAAACUGGCAGGCUAGAGUCUUGUAGAGGGGUUAGAA
rnacentral:rRNA from 1 species